rnacentral:rRNA from 1 species
ACGGGAGGCAGCAGUGAGGAAUAUUGGUCAAUGGGCGGAAGCCUGAACCAGCCAAGUCGCGUGAAGGAUGAAGGUAUUAUGUAUUGUAAACUUCUUUAGCUGUGGAGCAAUAAUCUCCAUGUAUGGAGAGAUGAGAGUACACAGAGAAUAAGGAUCGGCUAACUCCGUGCCAGCAGCCGCGGUAAUACGGAGGAUCCGAGCGUUAUCCGGAUUUAUUGGGUUUAAAGGGUGCGCAGGCGGCUUUCUAAGUCAGUGGUCAAAUCGUGGUGCUCAACGCCAUCCCGCCAUUGAUACUGGAGAGCUUGAUUGCGGUCGAGGUUUGCGGAAUUCGUCGUGUAGCGGUGAAAUGCAUAGAUAUGACGAAGAACACCGAUUGCGUAGGCAGCAGGCCAGGCCGUAAAUGACGCUCAUGCACGAAAGUGCGGGGAUCGAACAGGAUUAGAUACCCUGGUA